rnacentral:rRNA from 1 species
AGAUUGAACGCUGGCGGCAGGCCUAACGCAUGCAAGUCGAGCGGUAGAGAGGUGCUUGCACCUCUUGAGAGCGGCGGACGGGUGAGUAAUGCCUAGGAAUCUGCCUAGUGGUGGGGGAUAACGUUCGGAAACGGACGCUAAUACCGCAUACGUCCUACGGGAGAAAGCGGGGGACCUUCGGGCCUCGCGCCAUUAGAUGAGCCUAGGUCGGAUUAGCUAGUUGGUGAGGUAAUGGCUCACCAAGGCGACGAUCCGUAACUGGUCUGAGAGGAUGAUCAGUCACACUGGAACUGAGACACGGUCCAGACUCCGUAACGGGAGGCAGCAGGUGGGAAUACGUGGACAAGUGGGGACAAAGCCUAGACUCCAGCCAUCGCCGCGUGUGUAGAAGAGUCGUCGGAUUAGG